CACGGGGGGUGCAAGCGUUGUUCGGAAUCACUGGGCGUAAAGGGCGUGUAGGCGGUCUGGCACGUGGGACGUGAAAUGCCCCGGCUUACCCGGGGACCUGCGUCUCAUACUGCUUGGCUUGAGUUCGGAAGAGGAGAGUGGAAUUCCCGGUGUAGCGGUGAAAUGCGCAGAUAUCGGGAGGAACACCAGUGGCGAAGGCAGCUCGCUGGGACGUUACUGACGCUGAGACGCGAAAGCGUGGGGAGCAAACAGG
rnacentral:rRNA from 1 species